GAUGAACGCUGGCGGCGUGCCUAAUACAUGCAAGUCGAGCGAACAGACGAGGAGCUUGCUCCUCUGACGUUAGCGGCGGACGGGGGAGUAACACGUGGAUAACCUACCUAUAAGACUGGGAUAACUUCGGGAAACCGGAGCUAAUACCGGAUAAUAUAUUGAACCGCAUGGUUCAAUAGUGAAAGACGGUUUUGCUGUCACUUAUAGAUGAAUCCGCGCCGCAUUAGCUAGUUGGUAAGGUAACGGCUUACCAAGGCAACGAUGCGUAGCCGACCUGAGAGGGUGAUCGGCCACACUGGAACUGAGACACGGUCCAGACUCCUACGGGAGGCAGCAGUAGGGAAUCUUCCGCAAUGGGCGAAAGCCUGACGGAGCAACGCCGCGUGAGUGAUGAAGGUCUUCGGAUCGUAAAACUCUGUUAUUAGGGAAGAACAAAUGUGUAAGUAACUAUGCACGUCUUGACGGUACCUAAUCAGAAAGCCACGGCUAACUACGUG
rnacentral:rRNA from 1 species